UCAAGUCUAGGUGGACAUGUUUGAAUCGU
rnacentral:sRNA from 1 species